CUGGCUACACCUGGAAUGGAUCUGUCUGUACAGAUGUGAAUGAAUGUCAAAGUGGAAGCCAUGACUGUCACAGCUCAGCCUCCUGUUUCAACAGCCCCGGCUCUUUCCAAUGUGUGUGUAAGUCUGGACAUACUGGAGAUGGAAGGAAUUGUACAGAUGUGAAUGAAUGCCAAAGUGGAAGCC